GGAAAACUGGCUGGGGCGAAAGGCGCCGCUCUCUCUCUGGUCAAGCUCUCGCCUCCCGGUUCCCAGCUCCGACGCGGAGCUGUUUCUCAAACAACGCGCAGCAGAGACGGGUUGGUGUCAGGACGCUGGAGGCAGUGUCGUUGGAGCCACCCGCAGUCCGCAGCCCCACUAAGCCUGCAGGCCUCCGGGAUGGAGCCGCCGCUCCCAGUCGGAGCCCAGCCCCUUGCUGUAUCCGCCUAAGAGAAAG
rnacentral:lncRNA from 1 species